AGAGAGAGACAUGCGCGCAUAUCAAUAAGCGGAGGAAAAGAAACUAACUAAGGAUUCCCUUAGUAACGGCGAGUGAAGCGGGAAGAGCUCAAAUUUGAAAUCUUCAAGGUUCUACCUUGACGAAUUGUAGUUUAUAGAAGUGUUUUCAUGUUAGUGGAGUGGCAAAAGUUCUUUGGAAUAGGACAUCAUAGAGGGUGAGAAUCCCGUAUUUGGUCAUUCCUCCUAGCGUUGUGAUACACUUUCAACGAGUCGGAUUGUUUGGGAAUGCAGUCCAAGAUGGGUGGUAAAUUUCAUCUAAAGCUAAAUAUUGGCGAGAGACCGAUAGCGAACAAGUACCGUGAGGGAAAGAUGAAAAGAACUUUGAAAAGAGAGUUAAACAGUACGUGAAAUUGUCAAAAGGGAAGCGUUUGACACCAGUGUUGUUUAGUUGAAAAUCAAUUCAAUAGUUUUUGAUUCUAAGUAGUAUUGACUUCAUCAGCUUGCUGCUUUCUUCUCAGAAAUUAUUGAAUGCACUUUUCAGUUAACAAGUCAACAUCAAUUUCUUUUGUUGUAAAAGGGUAAGAGGAAGGUGGCUUGCGCUUCGGCUCAAGUGUUUAUAGCCUUUUAUCUCUGCAAUCGGAGAGAUUGAGGUCUGCAGCGUAGAUCCUUCGGGGUUAGAUACAUUGGUGCUAAGCUAUAGCCUUGUAUAGACAACUUGUUGACUAUGCUCAGUCAUGUAGCUUACUCGCUGAUGCUAUUUUACCUACGCUUAGGAUGUUGAUAGUCACAGCGUGUAC
rnacentral:rRNA from 1 species